AUGAACGCUGGCGGCGUGCCUAAUCCAUGCAAGUCGAGCGAACAGACGAGGAGCUUGCUCCUCUGACGUUAGCGGCGGACGGGUGAGUAACACGUGGAUAACCUACCUAUAAGACUGGGAUAACUUCGGGAAACCGGAGCUAAUACCGGAUAAUAUAUUGAACCGCAUGGUUCCAUAGUGAAAGACGGUUUUGCUGUCACUUAUAGAUGGAUCCGCGCCGCAUUAGCUAGUUGGUAAGGUAACGGCUUACCAAGGCAACGAUGCGUAGCCGGCCUGAGAGGGUGAUCGGCCACACUGGAACUGAGACACGGUCCAGACUCCUACGGGAGGCAGCAGUGGGGAAUCUUCCGCAAUGGGCGAAAGCCUGACGGAGCAACGCCGCGUGAGUGAAGAAGGUCUUCGGAUCGUAAAACUCUGUUAUUAGGGAAGAACAAAUGUGUAAGUAACUAUGCACGUCUUGACGGUACCUAAUCAGAAAGCCACGGCUAACUACGUG
rnacentral:rRNA from 1 species